rnacentral:rRNA from 1 species
UGGUUAAGUCCCGCAACGAGCGCAACCCCUACGUUUAGUUGCUAACGCGUGAAGGCGAGCACUCUAGACGAACUGCCGUUGACAAAACGGAGGAAGGUGGGAUGACGUCAAAUCAUCAUGCCCCUUAUGUUCUGGGCUACACACGUGCUACAAUGGCCGGUACAGACGGACGCAAAGCCGCGAGGUGGAGCAAAUCCUAAAAAGCCGGUCUCAGUUCGGAUUGCAGGCUGCAAUUCGCCUGCAUGAAGUCGGAAUCGCUAGUAAUCGCAGGUCAGCAUACUGCGGUGAAUACGUUCCCGGGCCUU